rnacentral:rRNA from 1 species
AACGAACGCUGGCGGCAUGCCUAACACAUGCCAGUCGAACGAGACCUUCGGGUCUAGUGGCGCUCGGGUGCGUAACGCGUGGGAACCUGCCCUUAGGUUCGGAAUAACUCCCCGAAAGGGGUGCUAAUACCGGAUAAUGUCUUCGGACCAAAGAUUUAUCGCCUUUGGAUGGGCCCGCGUUGGAUUAGCUAGUUGGUAGGGUAAAAGCCUACCAAGGCGACGAUCCAUAGCUGGUCUGAGAGGAUGAUCAGCCACACUGGGACUGAGACACGGCCCAGACUCCUACGGGAGGCAGCAGUGGGGAAUAUUGGACAAUGGGCGAAAGCCUGAUCCAGCAAUGCCGCGUGAGUGAUGAAGGCCUUAGGGUUGUAAAGCUCUUUUACCCGGGAUGAUAAUGACAGUACCGGGAGAAUAAGCUCCGGCUAACUCCGUG